AGUGAACGCUGGCGGUAGGCCUAACACAUGCAAGUCGAACGGCAGCACAGUAAGAGCUUGCUCUUACGGGUGGCGAGUGGCGGACGGGUGAGGAAUACAUCGGAAUCUACUUUUUCGUGGGGGAUAACGUAGGGAAACUUACGCUAAUACCGCAUACGACCUACGGGUGAAAGCAGGGGAUCUUCGGACCUUGCGCGAUUGAAUGAGCCGAUGUCGGAUGAGCUAGUUGGCGGGGUAAAGGCCCACCAAGGCGACGAUCCGUAGCUCGUCUGAGAGGAUGAUCAGCCACCCUGGAAGUGAGACAGGGCACACACACCUAAGGGAGGAAGCAGUGGGGAAUAUUGGACAAUGGGCGAGAGCCUGAUCCUGCCCUACCGGGUGAGUGAAGAAGGCGUUCGGGUGGGAAAGCCAUUUUGUUGGGAAAGAAGAGCAGCACGUUAAUACCCCGCUGUUCUGACGGUACCCUAUGAAUAAGCACCGGCUAACUUCGUG
rnacentral:rRNA from 1 species